AUAACUUUAUUUUUAAUUUCAGAUAAUAAUAAUAAAGAUUGGUUGAAACUAUUUAAAAAUAUUGAAAUGUAGUGUAAAGUGGAAGAACAUUGUUAGGCAUUUAUAGAAAAAAAUUUAUAAUUUUUAUAUGGGAAGUGUUAUUGGCACUUCAAAAAUCUCAUUCUACACUCCUCACAAGUGUAUUUUUCUUUCUAAAUAUAGAAAGUUUGGAGUGUAGAAUAAGAUUUUUGGAGUGCUAAUAACAAUUCCCUUUUAUAUUUUUAAUUAGUUUUUUUAUAAUUUUUUAAUAAUUUAAAUUGUGGCUGGCGUCAGCCUUGCGUCACAUAAGCUGUAGCAUCCUAGCCCGGGCCCCCACCA
rnacentral:lncRNA from 1 species